CCGACCUUAGCUCAGUUGGAAGAGCGCGAGACUGUAAUUGGUCAAUAACAAGAAUAUCUUGAGGUCGCCUGUUCGAGCCAGGCAGGUCGGA
rnacentral:tRNA from 1 species